AAUGGGCGCAAGCCUGAUCCAGCCAUGCCGCGUGCAGGAUGAAGGCCUUCGGGUUGUAAACUGCUUUUGUACGGAACGAAACGGCUCUUUCUAAUACAGAGGGCUAAUGACGGUACCGUAAGAAUAAGCACCGGCUAACUACGUGCCAGCAGCCGCGGUAAUACGUAGGGUGCAAGCGUUAAUCGGAAUUACUGGGCGUAAAGCGUGCGCAGGCGGUGAUGUAAGACAGUUGUGAAAUCCCCGGGCUCAACCUGGGAACUGCAUCUGUGACUGCAUCGCUGGAGUGCGGCAGAGGGGGAUGGAAUUCCGCGUGUAGCAGUGAAAUGCGUAGAUAUGCGGAGGAACACCGAUGGCGAAGGCAAUCCCCUGGGCCUGCACUGACGCUCAUGCACGAAAGCGUGGGGAGCAAACAGGAUUAGAUACCCUGGUAGUCCACGCCCUAAACGAUGUCAACUGGUUGUUGGGAAUUCACUUUCUCAGUAACGAAGCUAACGCGUGAAGUUGACCGCCUGGGGA
rnacentral:rRNA from 1 species